CCUACGGGCGACAGCAGUGGGGAAUAUUGCACAAUGGGGGAAACCCUGAUGCAGCGACGCCGCGUGAGUGAAGAAGUAUUUCGGUAUGUAAAGCUCUAUCAGCAGGGAAGAAGAAAGACGGUACCUGACUAAGAAGCCCCGGCUAACUACGUGCCAGCAGCCGCGGUAAUACGUAGGGGGCAAGCGUUAUCCGGUUUUACUGGGUGUAAGGGGAGCGUAGACGGCUGUGCAAGUCUGAAGUGAAAGCCCAGGGCUCAACCCUGGGACUGCGUUGGAAACUGUGGAGCUAGAGUACUGGAGGGGUAAGUGGAAUUCCUAGUGUAGCGGUGAAAUGCGUAGAUAUUAGGAGGAACACCAGUGGCGAAGGCGGCUUACUGGACAGUAACUGACGUUGAGGCUCGAAGGCGUGGGGAGCAAACAGGAUUAGAUACCCUUGUAGUC
rnacentral:rRNA from 1 species